rnacentral:rRNA from 1 species
AGUGGCGGACGGGUGAGUAACGCGUGAGAAUCUGCCUUGGGGUCGGGGACAACCACUGGAAACGGUGGCUAAUACCGGAUAAGCCGAUUGGUGAAAGAUUUAUUGCCCGAAGAGGAGCUCGCGUCUGAUUAGCUAGUUGGUGAGGUAAGAGCUCACCAAGGCAGCGAUCAGUAGCUGGUCUGAGAGGACGAUCAGCCACACUGGGACUGAGACACGGCCCAGACUCCUACGGGAGGCAGCAGUGGGGAAUUUUCCGCAAUGGGCGAAAGCCUGACGGAGCAAGACCGCGUGAGGGAGGAAGGCUCUUGGGUUGUAAACCUCUUUUCUCAGGGAAGAAGCUCUGACGGUACCUGAGGAAUCAGCCUCGGCUAACUCCGUGCCAGCAGCCGCGGUAAUACGGAGGAGGCAAGCGUUAUCCGGAAUUAUUGGGCGUAAAGCGUCCGCAGGUGGCGAUUCAAGUCUGCUGUCAAAGCACGGGGCUUAACUCCGUAAAGGCAGUGGAAACUGAAUAGCUAGGGUGCCGUAGGGGUAGAGGGAAUUCCCGGUGUAGCGGUGAAAUGCGUAGAGAUCGGGAAGAACAUCGGUGGCGAAAGCGCUCUACUGGACGGCAACUGACACUCAGGGACGAAAGCUAGGGGAGCGAAUGGGAUUAGAUACCCC